rnacentral:rRNA from 1 species
CCUACGGGUGGCUGCAGUCGAGAAUCAUUCACAAUGGGGGAAACCCUGAUGGUGCGACGCCGCGUGGGGGAAUGAAGGUCUUCGGAUUGUAAACUCCUGUCAUGUGGGAGCAAAUUAAAAAGAUAGUACCACAAGAGGAAGAGACGGCUAACUCUGUGCCAGCAGCCGCGGUAAUACAGAGGUCCCAAGCGUUGUUCGGAAUAACUGGGCGUAAAGGGGUCGUAGGCUGUUUCGUAAGUCGUGUGUGAAAGGCGCGGGCUCAACCCGCGGACGGCACAUGAUACUGCGAGACUAGAGUAAUGGAGGGGGAACCGGAAUUCUCGGUGUAGCAGUGAAAUGCGUAGAUAUCGAGAGGAACACUCGUGGCGAAGGCGGGUUCCUGGACAUUAACUGACGCUGAGGCACGAAGGCCAGGGGAGCGAAAGGGAUUAGAUACCCCUGUAGUC